rnacentral:rRNA from 1 species
AGGACGAACGCUGGCGGCGUGCUUAACACAUGCAAGUCGAACGAUGAUGCCCAGCUUGCUGGGUGGAUUAGUGGCGAACGGGUGAGUAACACGUGAGUAACCUGCCCCUGACUCUGGGAUAAGCGUUGGAAACGACGUCUAAUACUGGAUAUGAUCGCCGGCCGCAUGGUCUGGUGGUGGAAAGAUUUUUUGGUUGGGGAUGGACUCGCGGCCUAUCAGCUUGUUGGUGAGGUAAUGGCUCACCAAGGCGACGACGGGUAGCCGGCCUGAGAGGGUGACCGGCCACACUGGGACUGAGACACGGCCCAGACUCCUACGGGAGGCAGCAGUGGGGAAUAUUGCACAAUGGGCGAAAGCCUGAUGCAGCAACGCCGCGUGAGGGAUGACGGCCUUCGGGUUGUAAACCUCUUUUAGUAGGGAAGAAGCGAAAGUGACGGUACCUGCAGAAAAAGCACCGGCUAACUACGUGCCAGCAGCCGCGGUAAUACGUAGGGUGCAAGCGUUGUCCGGAAUUAUUGGGCGUAAAGAGCUCGUAGGCGGUUUGUCGCGUCUGCUGUGAAAUCCCGAGGCUCAACCUCGGGCUUGCAGUGGGUACGGGCAGACUAGAGUGCGGUAGGGGAGAUUGGAAUUCCUGGUGUAGCGGUGGAAUGCGCAGAUAUCAGGAGGAACACCGAUGGCGAAGGCAGAUCUCUGGGCCGUAACUGACGCUGAGGAGCGAAAGCAUGGGGAGCGAACAGGAUUAGAUACCCUGGUAGUCCAUGCCGUAAACGUUGGGCGCU